rnacentral:lncRNA from 1 species
GUAAACGGUAAAAAAAAAAAAAUUCGAUGCGAAUAUGAAGUAAAUGCGGAAAAUAAAAUCAGCACACCGAGAAUUAACGUGGGAAAACUCCAAAUCGGAGAGAAAAACCCACGGGACCGAUCACACAAAGAAAUCCACUAAGAAAACAUGAGUACAAGUGAUUUAGCAAAAAUACAAGACUCAAAAUACCGAAUCCUCGUUGUAGAUUAUCUUUGCUAGUCCACGAUCGCUUGGAAUCCUCCAACCGAUCACACUGCAAGUC